GACGAACGCUGGCGGCGUGCUUAACACAUGCAAGUCGAACGGUGAAGGUGGGAGCUUGCUCCUGCUGGAUCAGUGGCGAACGGGUGAGUAACACGUGAGCAAUCUGCCCCGAACUCUGGGAUAAGCGCUGGAAACGGCGUCUAAUACCGGAUACGACGCGCGAGGGCAUCCUCUGCGCGUGGAAAGAAUUUCGGUUCGGGAUGAGCUCGCGGCCUAUCAGCUUGUUGGUGAGGUAAUGGCUCACCAAGGCGACGACGGGUAGCCGGCCUGAGAGGGUGACCGGCCACACUGGGACUGAGACACGGCCCAGACUCCUACGGGAGGCAGCAGUGGGGAAUAUUGCACAAUGGGCGCAAGCCUGAUGCAGCAACGCCGCGUGAGGGACGACGGCCUUCGGGUUGUAAACCUCUUUUAGUAGGGAAGAAGCGAAAGUGACGGUACCUGCAGAAAAAGCACCGGCUAACUACGUGCCAGCAGCCGCCGUAAAAC
rnacentral:rRNA from 1 species